CUAGUACUCCCUCCGUUCGGAAUUACUUAUCAUAAAAAUGAAUAAAAAUAGAUGUAUCUACAACUAAAAAACAUCUAAAUACAUUUAUUUCUUGGACGAGUAAUUUCAAACGGAGGGAGUAGUUC
rfam:Triticum aestivum genome assembly, contig: Triticum_aestivum_CS42_TGACv1_scaffold_578963_7BL